rnacentral:rRNA from 1 species
UACGGAGGGAGCUAGCGUUGUUCGGAAUUACUGGGCGUAAAGCGCGCGUAGGUGGCUUCGUAAGUCCGUUGUGAAAGUCAAAGGCUCAACCUUUGAAAGCCGAUGGAUACUGUGAAGCUAGAGUACGGAAGAGGCGAGUGGAAUUCCUGGUGUAGCGGUGGAAUGCGCAGAUAUCAGGAGGAACACCAAUAGCGAAGGCAGCGCGCUGGGACGUUACUGACACUGAGGCGCGAAAGCGUGGGGAGCGAACAGG